AGGAUAGGAAUUUCCAAUCUAGAACACCUUUCCAUAUAAGGACCCAAAAAGAGAGCAACAAGGAGAAAAGGAGAAUUCUACAGCCUUUACCGCGCCGACCGGCUCCGGGAGAGAUGGAUUCCAGCGGUACCGCGGUGGCCUCCUCAACCGAAAAGACCGAAGGAAACAAGAAGGAAAUCGACACCAAGUCCCUGACUUCGCCGAGGGGCGGCGGCGGCGGCGGCGGUCAAUGCCUCUGCUCUCCGACGAAGCAUGAGGGCUCGUUCCGCUGCCGGUUCCACCGCUCGCUCUCGUCAACCCGGAUGCGCCGCUCCAAUUCCGUGCCUUCAAGUGCCAAGUCCACCACCAGCUCAAUUAUUUCCAAGCCCCUGGAGACUGCUUAGCCCUCUCCCCGUGGUUCUAAAUCUUUCUCAAAGCCUGUAAAAGAUGGAAAGCUCUGCGCUCUUGUUAUCGUGUGAACGAAUAAACAAAGAAGUUUGAUUGUAUGUA